GAUGAACGCUGGCGGCGUGCCUAAUACAUGCAAGUCGAGCGAACAGACGAGGAGCUUGCUCCUCUGACGUUAGCGGCGGACGGGUGAGUAACACGUGGAUAACCUACCUAUAAGACUGGGAUAACUUCGGGAAACCGGAGCUAAUACCGGAUAAUAUAUUGAACCGCAUGGUUCAAUAGUGAAAGACGGUUUUGCUGUCACUUAUAGAUGGAUCCGCGCCGCAUUAGCUAGUUGGUAAGGUAACGGCUUACCAAGGCGACGAUGCGUAGCCGACCUGAGAGGGUGAUAGGCCACACUGGAACGGAGACACGGUCCAGACUCCUACGGGAGGCAGCAGUAGGGAAUCUGCCGCAAUGGGCGAAAGCCUGACGGAGCAACGCCGCGUGAGUGAUGAAGGUCUUCGGAUCGUAAAACUCUGUUAUUAGGGAAGAACAAAUGUGUAAGGAACUAUGCACGGCUUGACGGUACCUAAUCAGAAAGCCACGGCUAACUACGUG
rnacentral:rRNA from 1 species